rnacentral:SRP_RNA from 13 species
GCUGGGCAUGGUGGUGCAUGCCUGCAAUCCCAGCUACUCAGGAGGCUGAGGCAGGAGAAUUGCCUGAAUCCAGGAGGCAGAGGUUCCAGUGAGCCAAGAUUGUGCCAUUGCACUCCAGCCUAAAAAACAAGAGCAAAAUGUUGCCUUAGGAAAAAAAAGACUUUUUUUUUUUUUCGAGACGGAGUUUAGCUCUUGUUACCCAGGCUGGAGUGCAAUGGCGCGAUCUCGGCUCACGGCAACCUCCGCCACCUGGGUUCAGGCAAUUCUCCUGCCUCAG